rnacentral:piRNA from 1 species
UGCCUCAGAGUGACUGAAUGCUGGUC